UGGGGAAUAUUGGACAAUGGGCGCAAGCCUGAUCCAGCCAUGCCGCGUGAGUGAUGAAGGCCUUAGGGUUGUAAAGCUCUUUCGCCGGUGAAGAUAAUGACGGUAACCGGAGAAGAAGCCCCGGCUAACUUCGUGCCAGCAGCCGCGGUAAUACGAAGGGGGCUAGCGUUGCUCGGAAUCACUGGGCGUAAAGCGCACGUAGGCGGAUCGUUAAGUCAGGGGUGAAAUCCUGGAGCUCAACUCCAGAACUGCCCUUGAUACUGGCGAUCUCGAGUUCGAGAGAGGUUGGUGGAACUCCGAGUGUAGAGGUGAAAUUCGUAGAUAUUCGGAAGAACACCAGUGGCGAAGGCGGCCAACUGGCUCGAUACUGACGCUGAGGUGCGAAAGCGUGGGGAGCAAAACAGGAUUAGAUACCCUGGUAGUCCACGCCGUAAAACGAUGGAUGCUAGCCGUUGGGGGGUUUACCUCUCAGUGGCGCAGCUAACGCCUUAAGCAUCCCGCCUGGGGAGUACGGUCGCAAGAUUAAAACUCAAAGGAAUUGACGGGGUCAUAGCUGUUUUCCU
rnacentral:rRNA from 1 species